GACGAACGCUGGCGGCGUGCUUAACACAUGCAAGUCGAACGGUAAGGCUCCAGCUUGCUGGGGUACACGAGUGGCGAACGGGUGAGUAACACGUGGGUGACCUGCCCUGCACUUCGGGAUAAGCCUGGGAAACUGGGUCUAAUACCGGAUAGGACCGCACCGUGAGGGUGUGGUGGAAAGUUUUUUCGGUGUGGGAUGGGCCCGCGGCCUAUCAGCUUGUUGGUGGGGUAAUGGCCUACCAAGGCGGCGACGGGUAGCCGGCCUGAGAGGGUGGACGGCCACAUUGGGACUGAGACACGGCCCAGACUCCUACGGGAGGCAGCAGUGGGGAAUAUUGCACAAUGGGCGGAAGCCUGAUGCAGCGACGCCGCGUGGGGGAUGACGGCCUUCGGGUUGUAAACUCCUUUCACCAUCGACGAAGGGUUUCUGACGGUAGAUGGAGAAGAAGCACCGGCUAACUACGUGCCAGCAGCCGCGGUAAUACGUAGGGUGCGAGCGUUGUCCGGAAUUACUGGGCGUAAAGAGCUCGUAGGUGGUUUGUCGCGUCGUCUGUGAAAUUCCGGGGCUUAACUCCGGGCGUGCAGGCGAUACGGGCAUAACUUGAGUACUGUAGGGGAGACUGGAAUUCCUGGUGUAGCGGUGAAAUGCGCAGAUAUCAGGAGGAACACCGGUGGCGAAGGCGGGUCUCUGGGCAGUAACUGACGCUGAGGAGCGAAAGCAUGGGGAGCGAACAGGAUUAGAUACCCUGGUAGUCCAUGCCGUAAACGGUGGGCGCUAGGUGUGGGUUUCCUUCCACGGGAUCCAUGCCGUAGCUAACGCAUUAAGCGCCCCGCCUGGGGAGUACGGCCGCAAGGCUAAAACUCAAGGGAAUUGACGGGGGCCCGCACAAGCGGCGGAGCAUGUGGAUUAAUUCGAUGCAACGCGAAGAACCUUACCUGGGCUUGACAUAUACAGGAUCGCGCCAGAGAUGGUGUUUCCCUUGUGGCUUGUAUACAGGUGGUGCAUGGUUGUCGUCAGCUCGUGUCGUGAGAUGUUGGGUUAAGUCCCGCAACGAGCGCAACCCUUGUCUUAUGUUGCCAGCACGUUGUGGUGGGGACUCGUAAGAAACUGCCGGGGUUAACUCGGAGGAAGGUGGGGAUGACGUCAAAUCAUCAUGCCCCUUAUGUCCAGGGCUUCACACAUGCUACAAUGGUCGGUACAGUGGGUUGCCAGUCCGUGAGGGCGAGCUAAUCCCGCAAAGCCGGUCUCAGUUCGGAUCGGGGUCUGCAACUCGACCCCGUGAAGUCGGAGUCGCUAGUAAUCGCAGAUCAGCAACGCUGCGGUGAAUACGUUCCCGGGCCU
rnacentral:rRNA from 1 species